rnacentral:lncRNA from 1 species
GUAAUAACUGUCCUAGUGUUAGAACUAGCACAACCAGAUAAAUUCAGAUGUACGUCUAUUGCUAUAUAUGGAAACUUAAAUUUAUUUCAAAGUAUCUUUGUUGCAAUAUAUGGAAAAUUAAUUUUACUUCAUAGUAGACGGCUUUGACGAAAAGACAGUUGUUCAUAAAAAAUAACACAAACAAUUAAAACAACUAGAAUACAAAAACUAUGCGAUUACAACCAUCAAAACAAUUUUGAACAUGUACUGCAUCAUCCUACGAGCGUCUUGGUCGGUUUUAAUAUCCACCCAUUCACGCACUUCUCCGCUUUGGUUGAACGUGGACACAAGCCAUUGUAUUCUUCUAAUCCGUUCACCCUCUCCAAUUUCUCCCUCUAACCAACUGUACAACGUUCGAUUAAGACGUUCAAACGUAUCUGUGUUCCAAAGUCGAACCUGUAUCGGAGCCGCAACGGCAGAAAAUAUUACAUCAGCAUUUCGUUUUUGAAUAUAUCUAGACAUUGUUAAAACAAAGAAAAUUAAAAAUGGUGGUUGCACUAGACUAGAAGAUGAGUUUGAGUGAAAAUAUAAACUGAGAGAUGAAUUUGACUGAAAAUUUGUAUACAAGCUGAUCGUAUUUAUAGAGGCGAUAAAUCAGACACACAAGACACACAAAAGGGCACCUAAAAAAACACACAAAAGGCACCUAAAAAAAACCCUAGGGCACACACACACAGGCGCCAACCCCAGGGGCGCCUCCCUUAGUGGGAGGCUAAGGCGCCAACCCUAGGGGCGCCUCCCUUAAAGGGCACACAAGGGCGCCAACCCUAGGGGCGCCUCCCUUAUGGGGGCUUUAACUAGGGCGCCUACCCCUUUGGCGCCUCCCUUUAAGGCUCCAAAAUUUUUUAAGGGAUGCGCCAACUCCUCCAGCGCAUCCCUUAAAAAACAUGGUUAUUUUAGAAAUUUUUUUGAAAAACCUUAUUAUCGUAUUUUAUUUCAAAAACAUGGUUAUUUUAAAAAAAAAAUCGUAAUAUGUUCUCUAAAGUAAAUCAUAUGAUAAAAUUACAGAAUAUCUUAAAAUUUCAAUACUUAUUACAGUUUAAAAGAUAAAGUAAAAAAUAAAUAUAUAUAAUAAAAAAUAGAAAAAUUAAAGUAAUAAAAAAAGGUAAUUUAAAAAGAAAAGUGUUUCCGAAUACUGGUGAUUUCAGACUGGGCGGAGACGAAUUCCGGCGAGUCUAGGGUUUAAAAGUAAAUCAUAUGAUAAAAUUACACAAAACCUCCGCCGAGAAAAAAAAGGUUUUACCAAAACCUCCGACNGUAAUAUGUUCUCUAAAGUAAAUCAUAUGAUAAAAUUACAGAAUAUCUUAAAAUUUCAAUACUUAUUACAGUUUAAAAGAUAAAGUAAAAAAUAAAUAUAUAUAAUAAAAAAUAGAAAAAUUAAAGUAAUAAAAAAAGGUAAUUUAAAAAGAAAAGUGUUUCCGAAUACUGGUGAUUUCAGACUGGGCGGAGACGAAUUCCGGCGAGUCUAGGGUUUAAAAGUAAAUCAUAUGAUAAAAUUACACAAAACCUCCGCCGAGAAAAAAAAGGUUUUACCAAAACCUCCGACAUCGCCGCCGCUUCUUGUAGUCGUCUUCAUCAUCCUCCGUCGCCAUCUUCAACAUCACAAACUCCGAUAACUAAACCCUAACUUCAAUUCUGUUCGAUUCGAAUAGAUUGAUUGUUUGAUCCAUGGGGAAGAAAGGAGGAGCGAAAAAUCUCCCAAAACCGGAAUCAAAAUCUCACACUCCUAUUACACUGAGAGAAGAAGCCACUGGAAAAUUAAAAACGAAGCCAAUCGUUAACACAAAAAGAAAGGAGGAGCGAAAAAUCUCCCAAAACCGGAAUCAAAAUCUCACACUCCUAUUACACUGAGAGAAGAAGCCACUGGAAAAUUAAAAACGAAGCCAAUCGUUAACACAAAGUCACAUCUGAGAAUUGAUCAUUUGAAAAAACUUGCGGUGUGGACCACUACUAACCCUCACAUACCGUCUUUGAGUGCCUUCUAUGGUCAGCAUUUGGCCACCGUUUCAGAGUCUGCUGGUGUACCUCCUCAUCCUUCUCUACUCACUUGCCAAAGGUUUGCGUUUUC